AUUGAACGCUGGCGGCAUGCUUUACACAUGCAAGUCGAACGGUAACAGGCCUUCGGGUGCUGACGAGUGGCGAACGGGUGAGUAAUGCAUCGGAACGUACCCAGAGGUGGGGGAUAACGCAGCGAAAGCUGUGCUAAUACCGCAUGUGAUCUGAGGAUGAAAGCGGGGGACCGAGCAGCAAUGUUUGGCCUCGCGCCUUUGGAGCGGCCGAUGUCGGAUUAGCUAGUUGGUGGGGUAAAGGCCUACCAAGGCGACGAUCCGUAGCUGGUCUGAGAGGACGACCAGCCACACUGGGACUGGGACACGGCCCAGACUCCUACGGGAGGCAGCAGUGGGGAAUUUUGGACAAUGGGCGCAAGCCUGAUCCAGCAAUGCCGCGUGCGGGAAGAAGGCCUUCGGGUUGUAAACCGCUUUUGGCAGGAACGAAACGGUGUCCGCUAAUACCGGGCGCUAAUGACGGUACCUGCAGAAUAAGCACCGGCUAACUACGU
rnacentral:rRNA from 1 species